UUAGAGCAAAAGGAAAGCUAGAAUUUUUUCUACGGUUUCACGAUUACGCUAAAAACUUUUUUACGUGCGAUGACUUUCAAGUUGAUUAUUCUAAUUAAUAGUUACAUUAAUUGUCAAUUAUUCUCGAUUAAUUACGAUAUACAAAAAAAUUCUCACACACACACACAGAUGUCGCGAGAUUUGAGUAACAGCAUGAAGUUGUCUUGGCGUCCCCUUGCAUUUUUCGGCAACUUCACGAACGUAAUCGGCCAUUAUCGUUGUGAUGUAGUGACAAGGAUCCUCGUUUCGCGUUGUUAUGUAGUUGUUUCAUUAUCCAUUGCAAAGUGCGUCGCGUACGUGACAAGCAUCGGGAGUGUCGAAUCACGCGACAGGGUUGGUCAUCGAGAGGCGCAUAAUUAGCGAUUAACAAUAUUAUUCGACGUUUAUCGCGUCGUUUCGACUCGGAGCACGUCGAAUUCCAUCGGAAUUCUCCGCAUCUUGUUAUUUGCUCGAUUUAAUCAAAUAGGACGAUCACAGGGCCUGGAUAUUAUUAUUUUCUAAUUAAUUGAGGGGUGAUACUAAUUAGAUGUGUUCUUAGUCUUACGAUAUAAUCGAAUUCGGGGUCGACGCGUCGUAAUGCCUCGUGACGUCACGCCUAGUAACGCUUACGGCAAAUUCUUCGAGUGUUUACAUCACGUGUCUACUAGAUGUCGUGCGCGACGACACACUUCGCGUGUGACGUCAUAGGUUCAUUUUGCGCCGAAAAGUCUAUUACGCGCAAACAAUAAGUGUCGGGAGUGUCGAAUUAAGUAACGGGCGAUUACCGUGACAUGUUAAUUAAUGUUUGACAGUGAAUUUUCGAGGUUUUGUAAUCGAUACGUGUGUUGAAUUCUUGGUGUACUUUCCAUCUAUCGAGAAACGCAUCGUUUUUGCUUGAGGAAUUGCCUAAUGGGUCUUCUAAUUAAUUAAGAUUGGCUGACAUCCACGCAAAUAAAUCCAGAGCAAUGGAACGACCUGAUGAGAAAUCGGCGCCAACGAAUUAACUCAUUGCGUGCUGUCCUUCUCCGCAUCUUUAAAUCACAUCGACAUCUUUAAGUCACAAUCUCGUGCGGAGAAUGAAAGUAGGACCAGAAGGAACAACACUCGCCGAUUUACGAGACAAAUUGACC